GUGGGGAAUAUUGGACAAUGGGCGCAAGCCUGAUCCAGCCAUGCCGCGUGAGUGAUGAAGGCCUUAGGGUUGUAAAGCUCUUUUGUCCGGGAAGAUAAUGACUGUACCGGAAGAAUAAGCCCCGGCUAACUUCGUGCCAGCAGCCGCGGUAAUACGAAGGGGGCUAGCGUUGUUCGGAAUCACUGGGCGUAAAGCGCACGUAGGCGGACCAUUAAGUCAGGGGUGAAAGCCUGGAGCUCAACUCCAGAACUGCCUUUGAUACUGAUGGUCUCGAGUAUGGAAGAGGUUGGUGGAACUGCGAGUGUAGAGGUGAAAUUCGUAGAUAUUCGCAAGAACACCGGUGGCGAAGGCGACCAACUGGUCCAUUACUGACGCUGAGGUGCGAAAGCGUGGGGAGCAAACAGGAUUAGAAACCCUUGUAGUCC
rnacentral:rRNA from 1 species